GAGUGAUUUAAAAGAUGAGGAAGAGGACAGAUCUUCAGUCUUCAGCCGUCUGUCUCUGAAGAGUGACCGGUCUAAACACUAUCCUCUAAACUUCAGAAAUGAACCUGGACCCUCAGACACAAAAGGGAAGAGCAAAAGUCGUGUUCCUGUGGAGGAGCAUCUGUGCAGCAGUGCUGUAUGUCAGGACGUCCUGAAGGAUCAAGUCUCUACCAGCUGUGGACACUGGUUCUGCAGACAGUGCAUCUCCUCAUACUGGGACCAGCCAACUCCAUCAGGAGACUCCAGCUGUCCUCAAUGUGGAGAAAGAUGCAGCAUUAUACAAACAGAUAUUGGUCUGGAGGAGGUUUUAGAUGAACAUAGGAUCAGUCUGAGGAGGAGGUGUGAACGUGUGACUGAAGGAACUGAUAAAAGUGAAAUCCUC